rnacentral:misc_RNA from 1 species
AACUUUUGGCAAUGUAUCUCUUUGCUCUCGCAUCGAUGAAGAACGCAGCGAAAUGCGAUAAGUAAUGUGAAUUGCAGAAUUCAGUGAAUCAUCGACUCUUUGAACGCACCUUGCGCCCCGUGGUAUUCCGCGGGGCCUGCCUGUUUGAGUGUCACGUGAAACCCUCACUCUUGUCAUUGCCGAAAGGCGUGACAGGCAGUGGACUUGGACUGUGCCGUAGUCGGCUCGUCUUGAAAUGCAUUAGCUGUGCUGCGCGAUUUCGGCCGCCUGGUGUGAUAACUAUCUACGCCAAACUGUGUCGUCGUCUGUGUCGGUGUGGCUCAUAAUCGUCGACUUUGCUCGACACCUCACUUUAACGCUCUGGCCUCAAAUCAGGUAGGACUACCCGCUGAACUUAAGCAUAUCAAUAAGCGGAGGAU